rnacentral:rRNA from 1 species
UGAGGAAUAUUGGUCAAUGGGCGCAAGCCUGAACCAGCCAUCCCGCGUGAAGGAAGAAUGCGCUACGCGUUGUAAACUUCUUUUCCAGGGGGAGAAUUUUCCUGUCGAGACAGGGAUUGACGGUACCCUGGGAAUAAGCAUCGGCUAACUCCGUGCCAGCAGCCGCGGUAAUACGGAGGAUGCGAGCGUUAUCCGGAUUUAUUGGGUUUAAAGGGUGCGUAGGCGGAUCGAUAAGUCAGUGGUGAAAUUCUGCAGCUUAACUGUAGACUUGCCGUUGAUACUGUUAGUCUUGAGUGUGGUCAAGGCAGGCGGAAUGUGUAAUGUAGCGGUGAAAUGCUUAGAUAUUACACAGAACACCGAUUGCGAAGGCAGCUUGCUGGGUCAUUACUGACGCUGAUGCACGAAAGCGUGGGGAUC